UUUCACAUUAAACAGACAAGUAAAAGGCAAAUUACUUCAAUGCAUGAAUUAGUAGUGCCUUAUACAAAAUAUUUACCAAUGUUUUCUAAAGUUUUUUUAAAGAACCAAGCAAACAUAUUCUCCCAAUAACAAAUGCUUCCAUCAGAUUUCUAACAUACUCACAAUUGUAGUACUACCAUAUUCUAACCAUGGUCAGUUUUAAUGGCCGAGCACGUGUGUAUAUAUAAACAAGUCUUCCACAAAAUGUCAUUGUUAAACAGGAUACAUUUUACUUAAUUACUAUUUUGUUCACAUGCAACUGUUCAUCAUAUUGAUGUUAAUCAAAGUACUUUACAUGAAGACAUGUUUACCUGAUGAUGGCGCUAGAAGAAAAGUCAGAGGAUCAAAGUUGUUCAAAUUGGUCCUCUAAAAACCUUAAAAUAUUCAUCCCGUGGCGAAGGUAUGUCAAUAUUUACCGCAAAUGUCAGUUUACAAAUUGUACAGGUAGACUAUAAUUGUACCAGAUAAAGAUUCAUUUUUGUUGGUUUUUAUUUUAAUAGGAGUUUCUUUUCUGACCACACAGCCUCAGCUUGUAGCUGUGGAGAUUGUGGAGGGAAAGCAGUGGCCCCUGCUAUGCAAAAUGCAAAUGUGAACUUUGCAGGGAGACCAACUUUGAUGGCUAGGUCUCCUAAAAACAAAAGGACGUGUGGAUGUGCGUCCAUGUCUGGCGAGAUGCCUAUUUGUGGGUUCUUAAAAAGAGUGCUUUGGUGAGUGCACCUGCAGAUAACACAAAAGGUGGUCGCGCUAACAUUGCGGGUCAGUGCUCAGCACUUUGUAGAAAAUGACACAUUCAGAAGUGGGGGGCGGCCAUGAAUCGUCUCAAGACAGGAAUACGGAUUGCUUUAAGCCUUACAACUCUGGAGAUAGCCUUGUUGAGUUUUUACACGUAUGUGUUAUCAAUGGAGGUGGGACGUAAGGAGCAGCACAACCUGCAUGUACGGGACAAUCGAUACUUGCAUUUAUUUUACAGUUCAUCGCCCGUUUGUCUCACGGAAAAGUUAUGUUAUCAAAUUUAAUAAUCCCCACCUAAUCCAGGUCAUGGCCAUUACUAUUUAAUGCCCUUCUUUCCUUUGCACUUUCAAAACAUGCACGUUUCAUGUAAAACGAUUGAUAACAAGUUGCUUAAUUUUGAUUGACAGAUCCAAUUUGUUAAGGAAGCAUAAGCAAACGUUCAGUCAGGAAGACAAGCUUUGCAAUCCUGUUCAUUUAUCAAGUUUCAGCCUCUCACUGUGGUUGCUGAGGAGGGGGCGGGGGGUGGGGCGUGCACGUUGUGCAACGUUUCCCUAAACCGAUCCCAUCGUUGCUGUAAAAAAAGAAAAAAUGAUUUUCCUCUCUGCUGCAGUCAUUUCAGCAUGCACCCCCCCCCCCUCCAUCCCAGACACCUCCAAUCAGCAGCAAGUCCUGCUCAUCAUAGGAUUGCAGCCACCUUCCAUCACCACCAAGGGGGAGUAAGCCUUAUCUGACCUCAGCAUUGACCUCACUAAUCCCCCCUGGAUUAUUCUAUGGCAGGAAGGAGUCUCCAAAGAGUUUUUAUCAAGUCAUAUUUAUGCAUGUAUAAUAAAUUAUAAUUAUAUUUUAAUGAAGUCUUCCCUGAUUUAAAGGCUUGCUGCAUUUGACACACAUUUUAUUUGGGAACAAGAACAAGGACUGCAUUAAUUAGCAGGUUGUGAAUUAAAUAUUUUUGGUUGUUUACGGUUCUACCUAAGAAACGGACGUGUUCUGCAUGGAGGUACCGAAAAGCUUUCUGUUGAGCCAUGUGAAGCUCAAAGUGAGCAUGUCAAUAUUUUUUGGGCAGUGACAUUAAAUCCUAACUCCUGGCCAUUAUAACAAUGCGCAGAGAGAUGGAUUGUUGGUGGAGGCGGGUCCUGUUGAUGCGGGAGAGGAGAGAGCUGCAGGCUGACGACCUGACACAACACCCACCUUUCUCUCAAAGCCACCAGCGCUCUAAUUAUACAUCACUUUUAACUUUGAUAUCAUUUAAACAGGGUUCUUUAGAUUGGCUACAUUUCUCUAAAGCUAAAUUCAGACCCCAAUGAACAUCUAACAUGUGUCGAUUUCUGGUAACUCUUCUAUGAUAGAAUUUACGAUUUUACAAUUUACGAAAGACUCACGGCUGUAAUAUUAAGCUCUCAGUUCCCGAAGAACUCACACCUCUACAGGUGUCCUACGGAUGCUCAAACUACGAUGUGUUUAUUAUAGAUGUGGUUUUCAGGUUCUCUUUGUUUGUUUCUUUACCAUAUUUAUACAUUUGUAUCAUGAAAUAAUUAUUAAUGACUUGACUGGUUUCUGAUGAUUUUAAAUAUUUAGAUUAUUAAAGCAUAGAAUCACCCCUUGUUCUUGGAUUCUUUGUGUAACUGACCGGGUUGUUGAGCAGGUCCAUUAAAUGGAGUUCAUUGGCAUAGAUUGUCACAGUGGUGUAGUGAAAGAUGGGUCAAUAAGCGGCGUAGCAUGCUGGCAUGUUUACUGCGUUGUUUCACAAUCAAUCUUCAUCUUGGGAGAACAGACUGCAAUGGGGUACAUUUGGGGUGUCAGCUGCUUCUUCUCCUAAAUGAUGGUAACGUGAUCAUGAACAGUGAUGCGAUCCUUACAGUUAAACAAUAAUCACAAACUGUAUGGGUUGUGGAAUGUGGUCUAGGGCCAUGCCGGUUUGAUUUUCCAAAGUUAUCAACCCAUAUUGUCUGCCUCCAAGAGGCAGAAACUCAUAGUGAAAGACAUGUUGCGGUUUGGUUUUUAUCAAGCAAUUUAUAUUAUUAUUUAAAGACAAACAUAUACAAAUGGUAACAUUUUAACUGGGACCAAAUCCACUGAGUUAGAAUCACCAGAUAAAUAUAUAGAUACAUAUUCAUUUAGCUUGGAAAUGUACAAUUAGACUGCGUGCCACAGUGCUAUAGUUCUAUCAUUUGAAAUUGUUGCAAUAUCGAAUAAGAAUACAUUUAUUUUAAAAACAAAGGAAAUGACACACAGCCUUUUCUCUUGAAAUGUUUGUCGAAGUUAGUCAUCAUCAAGAUUUGUCUGGCGGAGCUUGUUAGACAUCUGCACCUUUGUGAGCGAUGAAACAGCUUUUCCAUAGUCGCUCGUUCAGUGGAGCUGCUGUUUUACAUUCUUCUUUGAGGUUUUGUCGCUGCCAUUUCUGGCUCCCCAAAGGUAACAGCUGCCUUUUGAAUCCCGGUGUUUCCCAGUGGUAAGCCGUUUAGAAAUACAAAUAAAUAGCAUUCAGUGCAUUCCACUCAGUUUGUAUUUUGUACACGCAGUAGGCUUUGCUUCGAUGCAGAGAAGAAAACAUGCUAUGAAUAUUGUAAUCUAUAUUCUGUCCAAAUGGAUAAAAGCCUUGCACUACGAUGACAGAGUCCUUGGUGUGACAUGUUGACUAUUCAUCUGGAGGCAGAGGGUAAUGGAGGUUCGGCACAUGGAUCAUCGGUCUGGGGAAACUGAGGUGACUCCUCUGACCGCUGCAUGUUUUAAAGUUGAACUCUGCGACUGCGUUAGACAGUAAAAGCGUCGUUGACGGAGGCGUCUCCGCGCCAUCGAUUUCUCUCCCUGAAUGAACAGCUACAGUCUUGUUCGUGUUGAGUUUCAGGUGGAGCAUAAAAUGGUACAAAGUUUUAAUUGUUAAAGAUGACUGAAGUUGUGCUUCACUGCUGCUCAGCCAUCAUCAGCCAAUUCAAUAGCUGUUUGGCUGCCGGCCGACAAGAAAACAUCCAAGCGUGCCAGUGAACAAAGACCGGAACUGGAACUGCUAGCAACGACAAGACAAAUCUCUUCAAAUCCUAUUUUGUAUUUUACAAUUUCAAACUAUAUUAGUAACUAUGUAGAAAGUAUGCAUUUUCAGGAAUCAUUGGGACACAUUUAGUGCCAACAUAUAAAUCGUUAAACAUCAUUUUACCCUCUGCUGUUUUGUCUGAGCUCAAUUUGAAUAUGUCAAAUUGUGUUGCACGCAGCAGCUUUCGGAGGACGGCUUUUUCAUCUGCUGAUAGGAGCCGCAGUUGGAUAUUUUCAAGAGCAGGAGUUUUGUCCUUGAGCCAAAUAACUGCUAUUUUGGUGUGCGGUUGGAUGAAAGAUCCCCCGUGUCCUGUUUUCCCAAACCUGUUAGAGAAACGUCUCUUGCUGUGGAAAGGUGCUGUUUUGCUUUUAUCCAAAGCAAAGUUGCAUCAUGCUGCUCAGUUCUCUUUUUUAAAGUUUUCUUUUGAUUUCUCUGAUACUUCAAAACAUAAGAGUAUGAAGCCACUGAAUUGGUUAAUUAUGAUCAAUCAGCCUGUAUCAAUUAAGUAAAAAACCUUUCGCUCUCUUCUGUGUUAGUCCUUUCUGCAUGAAAAAAGUAAUACCCCACCACUCCCUGUCUUUGUGCUGCAAGGUUUUGGGAUUCCCUCCCAGGCUCCGAGCCCAAUGGUUGCAUAUGUAGUUUAAGUAAAAGAUCAAAAAGUAACUUUGAAGUCAUGUCGCCUUGCCUCCCGGCUGAUCU
ensembl:lncRNA